rnacentral:rRNA from 1 species
UACGAAGGGGGCUAGCGUUGUUCGGAAUUACUGGGCGUAAAGCGCGCGUAGGCGGACUUUUAAGUCAGAGGUGAAAUCCCGGGGCCCAACCCCGGAACUGCCUUUGAUACUGGGAGUCUAGAGUAUGGUAGAGGUGAGUGGAAUACCGAGUGUAGAGGUGGAAUUCGUAGAUAUUCGGUAGAACACCAGUGGCGAAGGCGGCUCACUGGACCAUUACUGACGCUGAGGUGCGAAAGCGUGGGGAGCAAACAGG